CCGAACUCUCCCGUGAGCAAUGUUCAAUGAUAAUUAAUAUUUAUUCAUUUCUUAACUGGUCAAAAUGAAGAAUGCUGAAUAUUUUGACACCGUAAUGUUAUGUUGCAGACACCGAGUGACCUGACUGAACCCUCUGGAGACCAUGAAUGGAAUGAUAGAUACACUUCAUCCUUACAACAGACACCAAGUGUUCCGAUCCUGAUGAAACCUUUUGAAGAUCAAGAAAGGAGUGGAAGAUCCACUUCUUCCUUACAACAGACACCAAGUGACCUGACUGAACCCUCUGGAGACCAUGAAUGGAAUGAGAGAUAAAUUCUCAAAAUUCUCAAAUUUUCAAAAUUCUCAUUAUUUCCUGGAAUAUCUUAUUUUGAUUAUUUUAUUUUUCCAUUUUUAAUAAAUAAUGCCUUCUUUUACAGGUGGGAAUAAGAGACGCACGUGGACAGAUUAUGAAGUGAAGGCUGUUGAGCGACAUAUGUUUGAUUUCAUAACAAGCCAUAAAGUUUCAGGUAAAACGA